AUGCAUCCCAUGAAUAAAAAUGCUAUCGUUGUGGCACACACUUGCUAUAAUUUGCGUCUCAAUCAUGUUGAACACAAUAACUAUCAUUGCAUGAUGGAUGGCGUAUUUCUCUACCAUGCUUCAAAUUUAUUUGAGCAUUGCUUAUCUUGUGCUAACUCUCACGUUCACAUACACAUCAUGAUGGAUGAUGUGUACAUUUACCACACACACAAUUUCUUUGGUUUGUGUAUCUUUUGUGUAGGUACCCAUGAAUACUUGUCAACCUCACAAUCCCAUGAGUUGACAAAACAAGCUCUAGAGAGCAAUGAUGAUUUGGGAUCCCGUGGAUUAUCCUUACGAGCACUCCCUCCGCGCAUUUCUUCUACAUGGCCCUCACAUGGUUAUGGGUUAUAUACCGCUUCUCACUUUAUGCUCAUUUUGAUGCCUUUGCCAUGCAUUUGUGACCCAGGCUUUGCAUUAUACAUGAUGAUGGAUUCUAGUACUUGUAUGUGUAUUUGCAAGAUUGGUGGGGAUAUCUCUUGUUAUUGCCAUGUUCCAUUUUAUGCCCCAUGCCUAUGA
rnacentral:rRNA from 1 species